rnacentral:rRNA from 1 species
AGAGUUUGAUCAUGGCUCAGGAUGAAUGCUGGCGGCGUGCCUAACACAUGCAAGUCGAGCGGCAGCGAGGGGUGCUUGCACCCUGUCGGCGAGCGGCGAACGGCUGAGUAACGCGUAGGAAUUUGCCCCAAAGUGAGGAGUAACUGCCCGAAAGGGUAGCUAAUGCCGCAUAUGGUCUUCGGAUUAAAGGAUUUAUCCGCUUUGGGAGAAGCCUGCGUUGGAUUAGGUAGUUGGUAGGGUAAUGGCCUACCAAGCCGACGAUCCAUAGCUGGUCUGAGAGGAUGAUCAGCCAGACUGGAACUGAGACACGGUCCAGACUCCUACGGGAGGCAGCAGUGAGGAAUCUUCCACAAUGGGCGAAAGCCUGAUGGAGCAACGCCGCGUGAAGGAUGAAGGCCUUCGGGUUGUAAACUUCUUUUAUGAGUGAAGAAUAUGACGGUAACUCAUGAAUAAGCACCGGCUAACUACGUGCCAGCAGCCGCGGUCAUACGUAGGGUGCGAGCAUUAUCCGGAGUGACUGGGCGUAAAGAGUUGCGUAGGCGGUUUAAUAAGUGAAUAGUGAAACCUGGUGGCUCAACCAUACAGACUGUUAUUCAAACUGUUAAACUCGAGAAUGGUAGAGGUAACUGGAAUUUCUUGUGUAGGAGUGAAAUCCGUAGAUAUAAGAAGGAACACCAAUGGCGUAGGCAGGUUACUGGGCCAUUUCUGACGCUAAGGCACGAAAGCGUGGGGAGCGAACCGGAUUAGAUACCCUGGUAGUCCAA